ensembl:lncRNA
AGAAAAAGAAAAAAAAGAAGACGGGGAAGAAGAAGAAGAAUGCAAACAAUUACAAUAGGUACUUUCACACCUUCGGUGAGAGAAAAAGUACAACUGCUCCUUCCUGUAAAGGAGGCGGGAACAUUUAAAGAAAGAGCAGUGCUGUGAUUGGCUCCUGUUCGGGCUACUUCCUGAAUAAACAAAAACAGAGCAGAACAGUUGGGCAGGUUUUGGCCCAGAGCUGAACUGCAGAAGAAGCUGAUAAACGAUACCUCAGUGGGUUCACCUUCCUGCACUGUCUCUGUGUGUCCAGGACAGAACGUCUGGAUGUAAUCUGCCGUGUAAGUGAGGACGGGGUGUUUCAGAAAGGAAGAGAGAAAGUGAAACUGCUAGGAGAUUUAAAAGUUUUUGGGAGGAGUCACAGCAACAUCUUCACUGAGAAGAAUAAUGGAAAAAGGAUAUGAAAUUCUCUCAAAUAACACAUAUACAAAUGAUGUCAGUGUUAAUAUCACAGAGGAGUCUGAGUGCUUCAUUUGCAGAGAUGUGGGCCUGAUGGGUGAAGAUCCGCUGAGGACCUUCUGUGACUGUAAGAACCUUGUGGCUCACCACAGCUGUCUGCUAACCUGGAUCAAAACGGGUCUUGGACGAGUGGAGAGACUCAAGUGUAGCGUCUGCAAUGCUGAGUAUCAGCUACAGAGAUGUGCACCCUGGCGGACCGUGGCCUCUCAGUGGCAGACCUGGUCCAUUCUAGCCAUCGCUGUUCUUCUACUGGCUCUUGUGCCGUAUGUGGUGUACCGGAUGAUGACCGCUUUUGACAAUCCCCCUCCACACUCGCUCUUCAAGACAGCUGCAAUCUGCUUUGGCCUGCUUAGUGAAGCCCUGUUGAUCAAGUGCUUGUGCAGUUACUUCAGCCAUCGACUCCAGCGAGCAGAGGAAAGCUCCUUUAGCCUCCAGCCUCGCAAAUCUGAAGAGCAUGAAGUCCAUAGCAGUCUGAGGCAGUGCGUCACGGCAGGGGUCAAAGGUUAAGACUCACAGGCAGUGGUGGGAGAAAGGAACCUCCUUGGUUGUAAGCUCUGAGAAGAGAGGAUCAGGGCUUCUAAUGUUAAAUAUGACCAGAGGGAAUAAUAAUAAUUAAAGAAAAGACUUAUUUAAAUGUCUGGAGAGAUCCUGCUGCCGACACUGGCAGAGUUUCAGCAGACGAAACCCAGCGUAAGCAGCAAAAGAAAUUGAUGAUGCCGCCGAUCUGUUCUCCUGAGUUGAAAAUGAAUGGAUGCUUUAUUGUUCUUAGAUGGAUUUCGAUUGUAUGAUCAAAACAGUUGAGUUGGUACAAAGCUUUAUCAAUUUAUUUUAUCAAUAUCCCAAAGCAUUUUUGCUAUACAGUAUAAUAGUUUUAUAUAAUUCAUUGCACAUGUCACUUUUUAAUGGUUUGACUUUUUCAAGGGAUUUCAAGAACUUCUGAGCCCAUCUGUCAAGGACUUUCAGAAACAGUUCUGAUACAAUCCGAAUGUAAAAAGUAUACAUAUUUUUUUUCCACCUUUCCAGAAACAAACUUAAUGAUCCAGUCAAGUUCCUUAUAAAAAUGUCAUUACCAGUGCAAGCUGUGCUUAUGUUUGUGUUAUUUUAAGAAAUGUAUAAAGAUGUAUUUAAAAAAAACAAAACAAAAAAAACAUCACUUGUCUAUUCUUCAUCUUUGUGCUAAGAACAAGUAACAUUCUUAAACUAUGCUUGCAGUGCUGAAUAAUGUAGCAAUAUUCUACUGACAUGACAAAUGAGGAUUGAGACCAUGGUAACAGGUGGAGCGCUGUACAUCAGUUAUCCAGAGGGUCUGGCUGCAGACUUGCACUUGCACUCUCAGACUUGCAUUCUCAGACUUGCACUCUCAGACACUUGCACUUCCGCUAGCGAUUUUUUUUUAUUUUAUUUAUUUUUUUUAUUUAUUUUUUUUUACUUUUUGUUUGAAUUUACCAACAUUUUACAACAGUAGCCAGGUGGUGAAGACAAGAAAAAAAAAAAAACUAAAUUACAAGUCACUUGCAAUCGCUACUUGCACUCUCUUCUACCUGCGACACUUGCAAUCGACACAAAUCGUUCAUGUUGCCAAUGGAGACAAGACGCUGUGGUGGUGAUUAAACGCAACGCGCAAAGUUUUGCAUUAAGCAUUUUUCCAUAGAGAAUAAACUGUCCACAACUCGUUUAUAUCACUGUCUUUGUCCAUUAACCUACAUUAUGUGUUUUAUUUAUAAUGAUUUUCUAUAGGAGGAAAACGUGUAAUGUACAUUUUAACGCACUGCGUUCUGUACUCGUCUGCUUGCCUGUACGGAGCUGAUUCUUUUAAAAUCACUUAAUGCAUUUCAUAAUGCACAUUCAUAUUUGCUGAUCUGUAUAUACUUUGAGUCAACAACAAGACAUAUAGGCUGUGCCUACUGAAUUGUCUUUAUCAUCUUAGUCUGUUAUUAGGCCACAUUAAGUGUUCGCAUUGUGUUCAUAGCCAUCUGCUUGCCUUGUAGUACAUUAAAUAAUAAUUAUAUAUCGAAUUUGGUCUUUUAAUUGAACUUAACGUAUCCUAAUACAUUAUGCCAUAUUAACUGUUUAACUUCUUGUAUUUUUUUUGCAGGACCUUAUACAUUAUAGUAGUAGGCCUACUAAUUAAGUUUUAAUCGUUAAAUCACUGCCACAGCGUCUUGUCUCCAUGGGCAACAUGCACGAUGUGUGUUGAUUGCAAGUGACGUCACAGGUAGUGGAGAGUGCAAGUAGCGAUUGCAAGUGACAUUGUAAUUUAGUUUCUUUUUUCUUGUCUUCACCACCUGGCUACUGUUGUAAAAUGUGCACAAGUGUCUGAGAUUGCAAGUCUGAGAGUGCAAGUGCAAGUCUGCAGCCAGACCCUUCUCUCAGUUACUGUAUUCCUGCAUGUUGAUAGGCUCAUAGAGCUGAGUGGGAGCAGUCGGUAAUCUCUUUUCUUUAUCUGCAGAGUGUGUACAUGUAUCAUAGAGUGUGUGUAAUUUAAAUGAAUUCCCUUUAUUUUGCUUUAUUUUCCUUGCCCCCAUAGACCAGUGUAACAUGAUGCAUGUAUGCGUGUAUAUUAUUACUGCGGUUCAGUUAAAUUUUAAUCAUAAAAAGCAUCAACUGAUUACAAAAUAUCUAAAUAAUCG